UACAGGGGGUGCAAGCGUUGUUCGGAAUUAUUGGGCGUAAAGGGAGUGUAGGCGGUUUUCUAAGUCUUCUGUGAAAUCUACGAGCUUAGCCUGUAACGUGCAGAGGAAACUGGAAGGCUUGAGUGUCGGAGAGGAUAGGGGAAUACCCAGUGUAGAGGUGAAAUUCGUAGAGAUUGGGUGGAACACCAGUGGCGAAGGCGCCUAUCUGGCUGACAACUGACGCUGAGACUCGAAAGCAUGGGGAGCAAACAGG
rnacentral:rRNA from 1 species